rnacentral:rRNA from 1 species
GGGACACGUGGUAUCCUGUCUGAAUAUGGGGGGACCAUCCUCCAAGGCUAAAUACUCCUGACUGACCGAUAGUGAACCAGUACCGUGAGGGAAAGGCGAAAAGAACCCCGGCGAGGGGAGUGAAAAAGAACCUGAAACCGUGUACGUACAAGCAGUGGGAGCACGCUUAGGCGUGUGACUGCGUACCUUUUGUAUAAUGGGUCAGCGACUUAUAUUCUGUAGCAAGGUUAACCGAAUAGGGGAGCCGAAGGGAAACCGAGUCUUAACUGGGCGUUAAGUUGCAGGGUAUAGACCCGAAACCCGGUGAUCUAGCCAUGGGCAGGUUGAAGGUUGGGUAACACUAACUGGAGGACCGAACCGACUAAUGUUGAAAAAUUAGCGGAUGACUUGUGGCUGGGGGUGAAAGGCCAAUCAAACCGGGAGAUAGCUGGUUCUCCCCGAAAGCUAUUUAGGUAGCGCCUCGUGAAUUCAUCUCCGGGGGUAGAGCACUGUUUCGGCAAGGGGGUCAUCCCGACUUACCAACCCGAUGCAAACUGCGAAUACCGGAGAAUGUUAUCACGGGAGACACACGGCGGGUGCUAACGUCCGUCGUGAAGAGGGAAACAACCCAGACCGCCAGCUAAGGUCCCAAAGUCAUGGUUAAGUGGGAAACGAUGUGGGAAGGCCCAGACAGCCAGGAUGUUGGCUUAGAAGCAGCCAUCAUUUAAAGAAAGCGUAAUAGCUCACUGGUCGAGUCGGCCUGCGCGGAAGAUGUAACGGGGCUAAACCAUGCACCGAAGCUGCGGCAGCGACGCUUAUGCGUUGUUGGGUAGGGGAGCGUUCUGUAAGCCUGUGAAGGUGUGCUGUGAGGCAUGCUGGAGGUAUCAGAAGUGCGAAUGCUGACAUAAGUAACGAUAAAGCGGGUGAAAAGCCCGCUCGCCGGAAGACCAAGGGUUCCUGUCCAACGUUAAUCGGGGCAGGGUGAGUCGACCCCUAAGGCGAGGCCGAAAGGCGUAGUCGAUGGGAAACAGGUUAAUAUUCCUGUACUUGGUGUUACUGCGAAGGGGGGACGGAGAAGGCUAUGUUGGCCGGGCGACGGUUGUCCCGGUUUAAGCGUGUAGGCUGGUUUUCCAGGCAAAUCCGGAAAAUCAAGGCUGAGGCGUGAUGACGAGGCACUACGGUGCUGAAGCAACAAAUGCCCUGCUUCCAGGAAAAGCCUCUAAGCAUCAGGUAACAUCAAAUCGUACCCCAAACCGACACAGGUGGUCAGGUAGAGAAUACCAAGGCGCUUGAGAGAACUCGGGUGAAGGAACUAGGCAAAAUGGUGCCGUAACUUCGGGAGAAGGCACGCUGAUAUGUAGGUGAAGCGACUUGCUCGUGGAGCUGAAAUCAGUCGAAGAUACCAGCUGGCUGCAACUGUUUAUUAAAAACACAGCACUGUGCAAACACGAAAGUGGACGUAUACGGUGUGACGCCUGCCCGGUGCCGGAAGGUUAAUUGAUGGGGUCAGCGCAAGCGAAGCUCUUGAUCGAAGCCCCGGUAAACGGCGGCCGUAACUAUAACGGUCCUAAGGUAGCGAAAUUCCUUGUCGGGUAAGUUCCGACCUGCACG